AGAGGCAAAAUGGCAGUUAAACUGGUUUGCGACUUUCCUCUGGAACGCUCGACUGCUUAAGAGAAAAAUGCCUCAAAUGAGCAUGUGCACAACUCCAGCAAACACGCUGGACAUGCGGCCUCUCCCAAGUGCUGGCAGGCCACUGCACAUGCGGACCCACGGGGAGAAUCAGCAGAGAAGAAAUGCAAACCCCAGAGUCAUGCCAAGAUGUAAUGGUGAAGUUGAGAUGAUGAUCAAAGUCUUACUUCAGACAAAUCAUGAGUCUCAGAGGAAGUGAUGACAGAGAUGUCUGUGGAAACUAUUGAAGAGGAAGGCUUUGCUAAAUCUUCAUGGAGCCAUGUGAGGACACAGUGUUUGAGUCACCAUUUUGAAAGCAGAGAGAUGGGGACCUCACCAGACACGGAACCUGCUGGUGCCUUGAUCUGGGACCUCUCAGGCUACAGAACUUUCUGGAUUUGAACUCCUGGCCUCAUGGGAUCCUCCUGCCUCAGCCUUCCAGUUCCAAUCCUCCUGCUGGGAUUACAGGUGUGAGUCACCAGGCUGGGCCUUAUUUUGUAUAAAUCGUUUCAAAAGCUUCUUGACAGUUUUACGACCCAACAGUGUCAUUCUGAAGGACCUACUAGUGGAGCCAUUUCUUUGAAACUUUAAAAUGUAAAUGCUGAAGGAGAUACCACCUCUAUCUAUCUUACAGUCUCUAGGAGAGAGUAGGAAUCUUAGGUGGACCCUUUGUUCCAAAGUGUGAAAUUACAUUCUGUCAUGGAGAGAGUCCUUUCUAUGGAGGAGACAUUAUGCUAGAAUUUUCACACAGAUUAUUUUAUUUAACUCCAAGAACUACUCCAUGAAAUAGGCAUGAUCAUCACCUUCAUUGUUUUACAGGAGAAAAGUUGCAGCGAAGUGCAAAUUAUCAGGCUGAAGAUAAAUUAAGAAGCACUGGCACCUUCACUGAUCUUCAAACUAAGAACUGCCCAUAAAGUGGUGCUGCCAAGAUUGGAUUUCUCCUGCAUGCUCCUUCAGUGAUUUUUAUAUUUUAAUAAGACUGUUCAUUAUAGUUAGCUCCUCAUGUUGGAGCCAUUAGAUAUUUGUGGGAAAUAACAUAUCAUUAUCUCAGUUGCAUUCUGAGCCAUUUGGGAUGCUUUUAAGUUAGAAUGAUUUUUUUCCUGUCUUAAUUUUACACACACUAGUGCCUACAUGCUUGUUCAGCUUAUUUCUGUCUUCAGGUUCUUUGAUUCUAUUUUUCAACUUUAUUGUGUUAAAGUGGCUGAUGAACAGUGUCACUAACUGCUAGAUAGGAGUAGCCUCAAAUUCAGUUAAUUCAAAAAUUUACUGUCUUGAGAGAGGGGUUGACAUUCUAAGUCCUUUAUUUAUUCCGUCUCUCUCUCUCACCUAAAAUUCCAUCAGGAAACAUUCACACACAUCUCUGUAUCUCUUCAAAUUUAGCAUUAGGGAUCUAAGCAUGGAAACAAUGAUUUUGACAUUACAUGACCAUAAGAACCAAGGAUAUUAAGAGGAAUGCUUAGAGCAUAUAAAGGCAAAAAGCAAACACAACAUACACUCAACAAUUAGUGAGCAAUCAAACCAAAUGCAGAUCUAGUGCAACUGAGUAAUUUUCAGUGGUGAAAUGUGAACCUAUAGAAGGUUCUAAGUUAUAUUUGUGAUUUCCAUGUAAUAAAGUGUAUAUUAAGUUUAGAUUGGGAUUUAGCAAAGCUAUGUAGUUAUUCUUGUAACUAUUCAAGUUUGGGAUGGGGGGUGGAUAAAGAUUAACUAUGCAGCAAAAUCCUGUCUUCUCUCUUAUUAUUUGUUCACCAAAAAGAUCUAUGAUCUGAACUGUUUUAAAUUUUUAUUGGCUAUCGCAUCUGGUGUGGUGAGAACCCUCAUAGAAUCCAGAAGUUUUUAAACUCAUACAUGGUAUUUUAUUUCAUAUUCCUUCUUUAUGUUUAUUUUGAAGGCUAGCCUAGAAUUGUUUAUUCAGUAAAUUAAUAUUUAUUGUGCAUAUACUGUUUCCAAGUAUUGAGCACUAGGAAUGCAUAUAUUAAAUAUAGAAUUAAUCUCUACCCCAAGGACUUCGCAAACAAGUACAUAUAUGCGUGUGUAAUCAUUCGUUUUAUUUAUUACUAAAUUGCCAGUGAGAGAAAUUUUAGGAUGUUGACUUUAUACACAGUUAACAUUCCCAUCUUCCUCAAAUUUAGAUCUUGAUGUAGGAUUACUAAGUUCUGCAGUUGCCAAAUACAUUAUACAACCAGAAAAACAAUAUUACUUUUUGAGAUGAAUAUCAUUUUAUAAUAAUAGGCAUUAUGAAACUAAAAAUGAAGAAAAUGUCUUAAUUCCAAAAGACUAUCUUACAAGCAAUAUGUUUAGUUUUCCAAUAAUUGACUAUAUUCCUCUGAUGUGGUUCAUCUCACUAUGGACGGUGAAAACUUUGUCAUGGCUUUUGCAAAACAGUUUUAUUUGGGAGCUAGUAAGAAAUAAAAUAGUCUGAUAUUUUA